rnacentral:rRNA from 1 species
UACGUAGGGGGCAAGCGUUAUCCGGAUUCACUGGGUGUAAAGGGAGCGUAGACGGCCAGGCAAGCCUGGAGUGAAAGCCCGGGGCCCAACCCCGGGACUGCUCUGGGAACUGUCCGGCUGGAGUGCGGGAGGGGCAGGCGGAAUUCCUGGUGUAGCGGUGAAAUGCGCAGAUAUCAGGAGGAACACCGAUGGCGAAGGCAGUUCUCUGGGCCGUAACUGACGCUGAGGAGCGAAAGCGUGGGGAGCGAACAGG